rnacentral:rRNA from 1 species
AGAGUUUGAUCCUGGCUCAGAGCGAACGCUGGCGGCAUGCUUAACACAUGCAAGUCGCACGGGCAGCAAUGUCAGUGGCGGACGGGUGAGUAACGCGUAGGAAUCUGUCUCCGGGUGGGGGAUAACUGUGGGAACUACAGCUAAUACCGCAUGAAGCCUGAGGGCCAAAGGCGCAAGUCGCCUGGGGAGGAGCCUGCGUA